AAUUGACAGUGAUGAUGAAUUUACAAUUUUAAAUGCCAGUUCUGCUUCAGAAAUUCUUGAUUGAUAGAGCUAUUUGUGAUCUGAGUGCAUC